rnacentral:rRNA from 1 species
UGCUACACAUGCAAGUCGAGCGAAGGGAGUACUACGGUACGAACUUAGCGGCGGACGGGUGAGUAACGCGUGGACAAUCUACCCUGUAGACUGGGAUAACACCUCGAAAGGGGUGCUAAUACCGGAUAAUGUCGAGAAGCGGCAUAGCUUUUCGAAGAAAGGAGGGAAUCCGCUAUAGGAGGAGUCCGCGUCCCAUUAGCUAGUUGGUGAGGGUAACGGCCCACCAAGGCGACGAUGGGUAGCCGGCCUGAGAGGGUGAACGGCCACACUGGAACUGAGACACGGUCCAGACUCCUACGGGAGGCAGCAGUGGGGAAUAUUGUGCAAUGGGGGAAACCCUGACACAGCGACGCCGCGUGAGUGAAGAAGGCCUUCGGGUCGUAAAGCUCAAUAGUAUGGGAAGAAAGAAAUGACGGUACCAUACGAAAGCCCCGGCUAACUACGUGCCAGCAGCCGCGGUAAUACGUAGGGGGCGAGCGUUGUCCGGAAUUACUGGGCGUAAAGAGCACGUAGGCGGCUAUAAAAGUCAGAUGUGAAAAACCUGGGCUCAACCGAGGGUAUGCAUCUGAAACUAAAUAGCUUGAGUCAAGGAGAGGAGAGCGGAAUUCCUGGUGUAGCGGUGAAAUGCGUAGAGAUCAGGAAGAAUACCAGUGGCGAAAGCGGCUCUCUGGACUUGAACUGACGCUGAGGUG